AACAAAUUCACUCUGAGCUCCCAUCAACACUGCAGGAGCUCGAGAUAAAUGAGAACAAUCUAAAAGAAAUCGGGGAAAACAGCUUUGAAGGUCUCGGCAAUCUGGUUAUUUUGGAAAUGGAGGGGAACUUACCACAGGCCUUUAAGCCCCUCAAACAUCUGACUUACCUUCGGCUAGGCAGAAACCAUUUCCAAUUCAUUCCUUAGGGUCUACCUGCAUCUCUACUGUACCUGUGGGAAACCAGUGGCACUUGAACAGCAAUUAUGGCAAACCAAAAUUUGAAGCUGCUUCAAAUUAAAUCAAAAGAGUUGUACCUUGAAAACAACCUGAUUGAAGACAUCUCUGACACGGCAUCACAAACGUCAACACCGUUGUGUUAAGACAUAAUAAAUUAGAUGAGUCAAGUAUUGGACCUUUAACGUGGAUUGAUCUCAGGUGUGUGUCCCCAACAAGUUUAACAACGAAACCAAUGUUAAGGCAAAUAUUGCUCUCAUUUGUUUUAUAAAAUGCCUAUUUUGCAUUAAAAGAAUUAUGAAAUUUGGUUCCAAAUUAUGUUGAUGUUCAGCAAAUAUGUUUUUGCACUCAAAGAUUGCAUGCUAAAGGGGCGAACUGAAAAUUUGAAGAACUAAAAAGUGGUACAUUUUCUGAGUGAAAACGUUACAUUUCCUACAACUUAACAUCAACAAAAUAAGGUACACUGAUUUUGUCAUAAUUUCCUGUGGCACAAUGUUCUAUGACCUUUACACAAAUUACAUUUGUUUUAAUUUUAAGGUUUAUCUUUAAUAAAAAAAAAGAACUUCCAGUAUGGUAAGAACUCAAUUCAAGUUAAUCAGUAUUGGCUAAUAAAUGCAAUUGUUUGUGCUAUCAGACUUUGUCCUGUUAUAAAAAAAAAUAAUAAUAAUAUAGACUGGUUAUAUCCUGUCAAUCAAAAUGCAUCUAAAUUCAAGCUGUGUGUGAAGAAAAGGUCUCCUGUGGAAUUACUUUUAAAGGGGGUCAUAUGACGUUGCUAAAAAGAACAUUAUUUUGUGUAUUUCGUGCAAUGUAAUGUGUUUAUGUGGUUUAAGAUUAAACAAAAAAAAAAAUCCACAUAAUGUACAUUAUUGUUUCUCCUUUAUUUCUCCGCCUUUCUGUAUAACAUAAGAUUUUUUUUUUACAAAGCUCAUCGUUCUGAAAAGCGAGGUGUGCUCUGACUGGUCAG